rnacentral:rRNA from 1 species
AGGAUGAACGCUAGCGGCAGGCUUAACACAUGCAAGUCGAGGGGUAACAGGAGUGCUUGCACUCGCUGACGACCGGCGCACGGGUGAGUAACGCGUAUGCAACCUACCCAUAACUGGGGCAUAGCUUCCGGAAACGGAAAUUAAUACCCCAUAGUAUUAUAAUACCGCAUGGUAUAAUAAUUAAAGUUCCGACGGUUAUGGAUGGGCAUGCGUGCCAUUAGUUAGUUGGUGAGGUAACGGCUCACCAAGACUAUGAUGGCUAGGGGGUCUUAAAGGAUGGUCCCCCACACUGGUACUGAGACACGGACCAGACUCCUACGGGAGGCAGCAGUGAGGAAUAUUGGUCAAUGGGCGCAAGCCUGAACCAGCCAUGCCGCGUGCAGGAAGACGGCCCUAUGGGUUGUAAACUGCUUUUAUAUAGGAAGAAAAUGUUCUACGUGUAGAGCACUGACGGUACUAUAAGAAUAAGCAUCGGCUAACUCCGUGCCAGCAGCCGCGGUAAUACGGAGGAUGCAAGCGUUAUCCGGAUUUAUUAGGUUUAAAGGGUGUGUAGGCGGAAUUUUAAGUCAGUGGUGAAAUCUCACAGCUCAACUGUGAAACUGCCAUUGAUACUGAAAUUCUUGAGUAUAGUUGAGGUAGGCGGAAUGUGUAAUGUAGCGGUGAAAUGCUUAGAUAUUACACAGAACACCGAUUGCGAAGGCAGCUUACUAAGCUAUUACUGACGCUGAUGCACGAAAGCGUGGGGAGCGAACAGGAUUAGAUACCCUGGUAGUCCACGCCGUAAACGAUGAUUACUCGUUGUUGGCGAUAUAUUGUCAGCGACUGANCGAAAGCAUUAAGUAAUCCACCUGGGGAGUACGUUCGCAAGAAUGAAACUCANGGAAUUGACGGGGGCCCGCACAAGCGGAGGAACAUGUGGUUUAAUUCGAUGAUACGCGAGGA